rnacentral:lncRNA from 1 species
GGUGGGGUAUUACUGUGUUGCCCAGGUUAGCCAGGUAUUCAAACUCCUCUGUUCUCAGAGCCAGGCAUGGUAGCACACACCUGUGUCUACAAUACUUGGAUCAUGAAGUCAGUGAUCCAGAGUUUGGGGUCAGCUUUUGUGAUCCAUUAAACCCUGUCUUAAAAAUAUAUCCAAAACAUCAUUUGUCGCUGGGCAGUGGUGGCGCACGCCUUUAAUCCCAGCACUUGGGAGGCAGAGGCAGGUGGAUUUCUGAGUUUGAGGCCAGCCUGGUCUACAGAGUGAGUUCCAGGACAGCCAGGGCCACACAGAGAAACCCUGUCUUGGAAAAAAAAAAAGAAAAAAAAAAACCUUUUGUCUUCAGUAUCCUAAGUAUCUGGGAUUACAAGUUUGUGCUGCUAUGAUUGGCCUGAUAAAGUUGUUGCUGAUUAAUCUCAAUGUAUAAUAAUAAUAGUUUAUUACAUUGCUACCUAAUACAAGUUAACCAGUGAGAAGAUGGUCAUUCUAUUUAGGGCAAUGUUCUCAAGUCUGAAGUCAGUAUACCUCAGUGACCACUUGUAAAUGUUUGUCCACUGUGAGUGACUUGAAAUGAGAUUUUUUUUUAACAUGUCAUCUUUAGUUUUGUAUUAUUCAUAGAUUUGGGGGCAGGGGUUGUGCAUUUUACACCUUGAAAAUGCCUUUUCACUUGCAUGUACCAGCUCUUUAGUAAUCCAUGGGCUUGAUUUUUUAAUGGUGCAUAGUCAUCUCCUAAAGAUUCAAUUCCCAAGUAUAACUUUUAGGGUAUCAUUGAGUUACUAUUUCCCCUUCAAGGCCAAAUAGAAGUUUGGUUAUAUGCUGUAUGACUUUUAUUUUGAGAUUUACUUAUUUUUAAUAUGUAUAUAUAAAAUAUAUUAUAUAUAUGUGUGUGCUUCAUAUGGUUUUUGGGCUUUUGGGUUUUUUUUUCUGGCCUACAUGCAUGUGUGUGCACCAAAUGAUUGGUUAGUAUCUGGAGGCCAAGAAGAGAGUGCCAGAUCCCCUAGAGAUGGAGUUACAGGUGGUUGUGAGCUAUCAUGCUGGUAAUUACAGAACUUGUAUCCUCUGCUAGAGCAGCCAGUGCUCUUUGUUUGUUUGGACAAGGGGCAUGGUUUGAGGCAGGGUUUCUCUGUGUAGCUUUGGUUGUCCUAUCUUAAAAUUCGCUCAGUAGACCAGUCUGACCUUGAACUCUCGGAGAUCUGCCCAUCUCUGCCAUCUGAGUGCUGGGAUUUAAGGGUGUGUGCCACCACUGUCCUGCAGGAGCCAGUACUCUUAACCACCAAACAGUUGCCCCAGCAAUGAAGUUUAUUUUUGAUUUUGGAAGUGUAGUUGGAGCUCAGAGAUCUGGUAAACAUCAAAGGAGUAGAGCUCCCCUGUCUUUGAUAGCCUGUUGUACCAGCAUUUCUUUCAAGUUUUGCAUGUCCUCUUGCCAUUAAGAGACAUUAUCAAGUUAUAGCCAAACCUAAUUCCUUAAGCCAUUUGUAUUUUGAAGGAAUUGAGGUCAUCUUCAUUAAGGAAAAAGAAAUGAUCUUUGACCCAAGUUCUAUAAAUUACAAUAAAAUCUAGCCAAGGUUAAACCUGUGGCUCAAAUGAAGCAGGAGAAUUGAUUGCCAUGAGUUCAAGUCCAGCAUAGGCUACAAAGUGAAAUCCUCUCUUCAAAACAAAAACAACUUGGUAGAUUUCUGAAAGAAUCCCAGAACUCAGAUGGCAGAUCUCUUAAGUCUGAGCCUGCACUGGUCUACAGAGUGAGUUCUAGGACAGCCAAGGCUAUAUAGUGAAAUCCUCUCAAAGAAAAGAAAAAUUUUUUGACAAAAACAAAUCCAUACAACUAAAGAUGAUUAAAGCCACAAGAAUGAGGUUUAUAUUGACACUACUGGUUCAGUAACAUGAUGGAUUCAUAUUUUCUUCUAAGUAUUUGUUGAAAAUAAAAUGAGUGACCAGAGGCUUUAAAACAUCUUGAGUUUUGAUAAAACUAAAUAGUCCAACCAGUUUUUUUCCUACUCCAUAUAUUUUUACCACUUUAAAUCACCUCUAAUCCUACCAUUCAGAAAGCUAGGCCAUGAAGAUUGACUUGCAUGGUCAAUGGCAUUCUAUCUAGUUCCUCAGUUUUUAUAUAACUAUAGUAAAUAAAAGCAUAGGGCUAAUAAAUUAAUUUCCUAUGUACACAUUUCUGCUCUUAAACAAUUUUUUUUUUACCAUUGAUAAAAUGGCUUUCUUUGCUCAGAAAAAAAAUUGAGCCAUUUGGAAACUUGAAUAAGCUUUCAUUUUUGCUUUUUUUUUUAAUUGAAAAAAAAAAAGGUUUUGGCUGGAUGGUGGUGGUAUAUGCAUUUAAUCCCAGCAAAAGCAGGCAGAUCUCUCUGUUCCAGGACAGCCAGGGCUACACAGAGAAAGAAACCUUGCCUC